rnacentral:rRNA from 1 species
CCUACGGGUGGCAGCAGUCGAGAAUCAUUCACAAUGGGGGAAACCCUGAUGGUGCGACGCCGCGUGGGGGAAUGAAGGUCUUCGGAUUGUAAACCCCUGUCAUGUGGGAGCAAAUUAAAAAGAUAGUACCACAAGAGGAAGAGACGGCUAACUCUGUGCCAGCAGCCGCGGUAAUACAGAGGUCUCAAGCGUUGUUCGGAAUCACUGGGCGUAAGGCGUGCGUAGGCUGUUUCGUAAGUCGUGUGUGAAAGGCGCGGGCUCAACCCGCGGACUGCACAUGAUACUGCGAGACUAGAGUAAUGGAGGGGGAACCGGAAUUCGCGGUGUAGCAGUGAAAUGCGUAGAUAUCGAGAGGAACACUCGUGGCGAAGGCGGGUUCCUGGACAUUAACUGACGCUGAGGCACGAAGGCCAGGGGAGCGAAAGGGAUUAGAUACCCCAGUAGUC